rnacentral:piRNA from 1 species
UAGAAAGGACAUUUCUGGAUCUCAUUUUC